CUAACAGGAAGUCAGAACCGAAGGCGCAUCAGACUUUGAAUGCCCAUAAGCAACUACUUUGUACAACUACAGGACACCUGGCCAUACAGAGCAUGGCACAUUCUGACUGCUAAUCUGGACCCCCACCCCCAGCUGACAACGUGCCACAACAUGAGAUGGACGUGGAGAAGUGAAGAUGAUCAAAGAGUAUGAGGUAUCUUAUGAUCAUCAUGACCAUAUUUCAAUGAUUGACUAGCCUUGUAAUAUGGUUUUUACUUGUGAUAUUUUAUUGAAGGUAAAAUAUUCUUUACACGUGAUUUUUUUAAAGAGAAAAUAGGUGCAUAUUUUUUCUAUUAAGUUUUUAACUGAUUUCUUAUGCAUUUUAUUCUCUUACCCUUUUUAAUUUAUCUUUAGCUGUUGAUGAAUUAUUACUGUUAUUUUAGGAGCAUAAUUCUAUUUCAGUUAUACCUUUUUUACCCCCUGAUUUGAUC